AAAAAAAAUUGCUUCUCAUUUUCACGCUACCUCACUCGUCUUCUCCAUAAUUCCGUGUUCAUCAAAAACCGAUCUGUGUGAAGCGUUCGGCUACUGAUCAAAUCUCAAGAUCAAGUAAACCAGAGAGUUUGCGGUUGUUUGAAAGUGAAAUCAAUGGCGUUCAUGAAGGGGAAACCAUUGGUUACCAAAGUGGCAGCGUUGGCGAGGUAUGGGUUGCUUCCAGGGGCCAUGGUGGCUGCUCUCGUGUACUCUCCACCUAAUUCCUCAUCUUUAUCCACCAACCGCGCUUCCGCCGCCACCACCAACUAGGGCUAUGGUUUGCUCGUCGAUGCAAGUCAGCAAUAUGUGGCUCAUGUGACUCCUUUGAUGAAGUAUGUUCUGUAAUAAAGUGAGUGACUAGAUUUCUUUAGAAAUUUUUAGAUUGGGAUUGUUGUGGGAAGAAUAUCGCCAAUCUGGAUUCUGUGCAGUUAAAUAUUUUCAAGAGCAUCGCUGAAAUUACUACCGAUUCACUUAGCCCCAUGUAUUAUCAAUUGUGGGAGGCCAUUUUGAAUAAUGUGUGGCGUUUGAUCCCUUCCUUUUCCUA